CUUGGCCGAGGUGUAGCGGUCGGCCGCGUCGCCGAACUCGGCGAGCACCCGGGCGCCGAGGAUCGUGCCCAGUCCCGGUUGG
rfam:Micromonospora rhizosphaerae strain DSM 45431 genome assembly, contig: Ga0070624_12